rnacentral:rRNA from 1 species
AACGAACGCUGGCGGCAUGCCUAACACAUGCAAGUCGAACGGGAUCCUAGCUUGCUAGGUGAGAGUGGCGGACGGGUGAGGAAUGCUUGGGAAUCUGCCUCGUAGUGGGGGAUAACGUUCCGAAAGGAACGCUAAUACCGCAUACGUCCUACGGGAGAAAGGGGGGGAUCUUCGGACCUCUCGCUAUGAGAUGAGCCCAAGCGGGAUUAGCUAGUUGGUGAGGUAAAGGCUCACCAAGGCUACGAUCCCUAGCUGGUCUGAGAGGAUGAUCAGCCACACUGGAACUGAGACACGGUCCAGACUCCUACGGGAGGCAGCAGUGGGGAAUAUUGGACAAUGGGCGAAAGCCUGAUCCAGCCAUGCCGCGUGCGUGAAGAAGGCCUCGGUUGUAAGACACUUUAAGUACGAGGAGGAAGGUUAC